GUCGGCUCAUCGCAUCCUGGGGCUGGAGAAGGUCCCAAGGGUUUGGCUGUUCGCCAAUUAAAGCGGUACGCGAGCUGGGUUCAGAACGUCGUGAGACAGUUCGGUCCAUAUCCUCUGCGGGCGCAGGAGAAUUGACGGGAACAUUCCCUAGUACGAGAGGACCGGGAAUGACCGGCCCAUGGUGUUCCGGCUGUCGCGCCAGCGGCACCGCCGGGUAGCUAUGCCGGGAACGGAUAAGCGCUGAAAGCAUCUAAGCGCCAAGCCUCCCCGAAGACAAGUUCUCCCUCACGAAAGUGACUGAAGGCCGGUGGAAGACCACCACCUCGAUAGGGCGGGCGUGCAAGUCCAGCGAUGGGCUCAGCGGACCGCUACUAAUCAGCCGUGAGGCUUGGCCGUUUUU
rnacentral:rRNA from 1 species